rnacentral:rRNA from 1 species
UUGCAGAUUUUCGUGAAUCAUCGAAUCUUUGAACGCAUAUUGCGCCCUCUGGUAUUCCGGAGGGCAUGCCUGUUUGAGCGUCAUUUCCUUCUCAUAUCCCUAGGAUGUGGUGAUGAGCGAUACUUUCGUAAGAAAGUUCGUUUGAAAUGAAUUGGCACGAGUCUUUCGACAGAUUGAUGCUAUGUUUUCAAUGUAUUAGGUUUACACCAUCGUUGAUUGUAGUAUUGGGCUGUUGAAGUUAUGGGCUUUGCCUUACAAACUUUACCUUAAAGUUUGACCUCAAAUCAGGUAGGAUUACCCGCUGAACUUAAGCAUAUCAAUAAGCGGAGGAAAAGAAACCAACAGGGAUUGCCUUAGUAGCGGCGAGUGAAGCGGCAAGAGCUCAAAUUUGAAAUCUGGUACUUUCAGUAUCCGAGUUGUAAUUUGAAGAAAGUUAUCUUGGAGUUGGCCUUUGUCUAUGUUCCUUGGAACAGGACGUCACAGAGGGUGAGAAUCCCGUGCGAUGAGGUGCCCAUUCUAUGUAAGAUACUUUCGACGAGUCGAGUUGUUUGGGAAUGCAGCUCUAAGUGGGUGGUAAAUUCCAUCUAAAGCUAAAUAUUGGCGAGAGACCGAUAGCGAACAAGUACAGUGAUGGAAAGAUGAAAAGAACUUUGAAAAGAGAGUGAAAAAGUACGUGAAAUUGUUGAAAGGGAAGGGUAUUUGAUCAGACUGAUAUUCAGUUAACACUGUCCUUGUGGAUGGUGCUCUAGCUUUUUAUUGGGCCAGCAUCAGUUUAGGUGGCAGGAUAAGAACUGUUGAACGUGGCUCUUCGGAGUGUUAUAGCUUCAGUUGAUACUGCCUAUCUAGACUGAGGUCUGCGGCUUUGCCUAGGAUGCUGGCGUAAUGGUCUAAUACCGCCCGUCUUGAAACAUGGACCAAGGAGUCUAACGUCUAUGCGAGUGUUUGGGUGUAAAACCCGUACGCGUAAUGAAAGUGAACGUAGGUGAGGGCCUUAGGGUGCAUCAUCGACCGAUCCUGAUGUUUUCGGAUGGAUUUGAGUAAGAGCAUAGCUGUUGGGACCCGAAAGAUGGUGAACUAUGCCUGAAUAGGGUGAAGCCAGAGGAAACUCUGGUGGAGGCUCGUAGCGGUUCUGACGUGCAAAUCGAUCGUCAAAUUUGGGAUAGGGGCGAAAG